rnacentral:rRNA from 1 species
UGGGGGAUAUUGCACAAUGGGCGAAAGCCUGAUGCAGCGACGCCGCGUGGGGGAUGAAGGCCUUCGGGUUGUAAACUUCUUUUGCUCUGAACAAGGCAUGCUAAUGGGUGUGUUGAGUGUAGGGGUUGAUUAGCGCCGGCUAACUACGUGCCAGCAGCCGCGGUAAUACGCUGGGCGCGAGCGUUGUCCGGAAUUAUUGGGCGUAGAGGGCUUGUAGGUGGCUGGUUGCGUCUGUCGUGAAAGCUAAUGGCUUAACUGUGGGUUUGCGGUGGGUACGGGCUGGCUUGAGUGCAGUAGGGGAGGCUGGAAUUCCUGGUGUAGCGGUGGAAUGCGCAGAUAUCAGGAGGAAUACCGGUGGCGAAGGCGGGUCUCUGGGCUGUUACUGACACUGAGGAGCGAAAGCAUGGGGAGCGAACAGG